AAACCUGGGAUAGUCUUUUAGGGAUGAAAAAUCUAAACGAGGAAAUAAAACAAUAGCCUUUGUUCUUCUUGACUGCUGCCUCUUUAAGAGAAUCUACCAGGAAAUGGGAGAUCAGGUUGCAAACUGAACACAGGGAAAUCUGGAGAGAGCCCGGGAGGGACAUUGGAGACAAAAGCAUUGGAGGCUGAGCCAGAGCCAGAAUGAUGGAUUAGGAAGAUAAAGUGAGCUAGAAGAUAAAACCAGAAAGAUUUUUUUUUUCUAGGAAAAUAGACGUAUUGGAAAGGAAAGACGUAGGUUGAAUUCAGAGUACUGGGGGAGGGGACCACUCUAACGAAAACUGCAUUCAGGAGAAGGAAAGAGUAGACAGUUAUCAAAGGCAGUUUAGUUCCCGUUCCUUUUCCUCAACCUCCUCCCCCUUUUGAAAUAAAUUGCAUUCAGUGAGUGCUGUCCUUUUAAAGAAACAGCUACUUCCUAACAACUGAAAUUUGCUGCUUGACUACAAAGUUAGCAGGAUGUGUAAAUGUAGAUAAGAAAGAAGGAAAAAGGAAACGGCAUUCUAGAGGAACUGAUGUUUAGAGGGAGGAAAAUGAAGUAUAUACCAUUAGGACUUUAUAAAAGAGCUUAAGGUUUCCCUGUUCAUAGAAUUCAGGUUGGAGAUUGGGUUUUGAUCCAAUCCUGGAAGGAUGAGAAGUUGACUCCAUGCUGGACGGACCCUACCAGUGUUUGCCAAUUUCUGCGUUCUCAAUGCUCACACUGAAAACUGAACAAUUUACUGGAUAAGAGCUGACUCCAACAUAGCCCUAGGCUCAUGCUUCAGGAAGGAAAAUAACUCUCUAGUGUUAUCAGGAGACUGAUGAUGAAUAAUAUUGCCCACAUCUUGACAGAGACAGGAUGGAUGGAUCAGAAUGAGAUGAAGGAAAAACUUGAGCGUCUGUGGCAGAAACGAACCGGCAUGAGAAGAUCCAGUCUUUCGAUAUAGUUUUGUUUUCGCUAUCUGGUGCUGCCCUCUGCUGAUUGUAAUAGAGGACAAAGUGAAAAGAUUUCACUCUGCCAUUUGAAUUCUACGGAGACGUUAAGGUGAUCUUGUUUGUCUUUCCUUCUUGAUAACGUCAGGACGGUGAUGUCUUGACUCACAGAUGACCUGGAUUUAAGUGUGACAAAAUCGUCAGUCUCGUUCUCCCCUCCAGAACCAUCAGUCCAGCGUCCCUGGCCCCUGAUGCAAUGGGCGCCUUUGGGUUUUUUCCUAAGACAAAGUUCCGGUAAAUACAAGGAACAGGGAAAUUGUGGUUUGCUGCCUUUUACCUGCAUUCAUUCUGGAGCUCAAAUUGCACAGCCCCCACCAAGCCCACCAAACCAACCACUAUUUUCUUCUCUUUGUCGAAGUUCCGAAUCCUUCCCACCUUUGCGCCCAGGUUAGAUGCUCCACUUCUUUUCCCUCUCAGAUCCACCAUUUGUGCUACUGAGCUUCUGCAUAAACUCAAUGACCUCAGGAAACCUUAUUUUUCUUAGCAGAAUGGUUUUCUGCCAGCAGCAGUGUGAGCGGACCCCUCAGAAAUCUGGAAUUGUGACCAGCCCAUGUUAGAAUUUGUCAACGUUUCCUUAGAUGGCCAUAAGCAUGGAGUUUUCUUCCUUUCUAAAAGUAAAACUGCAGAUUCUACAAGCUCACCCAGUGGUGCAAAGUGAGUCCUGGAUUCCUUUCCUUGUACUGACAGUUUCUUAAAGAGCUCU